UACGUAGGCAGCGAGCGUUGUUCGGAGUUACUGGGCGUAAAGGGUGUGUAGGCGGUUCUUUAAGUUUGGUGUGAAAUCUCCCGGCUCAACGGGGAGGGUGCGCCGAAUACUGAGGGACUAGAGUGCGGGAGAGGAAAGUGGAAUUCCUGGUGUAGCGGUGAAAUGCGUAGAUAUCAGGAGGAACACCGGUGGUGUAGACGGCUUUCUGGACCGAACUGCGCUGAGACACGAAAGCGUGGGUAGCAAACAGG
rnacentral:rRNA from 1 species